rnacentral:rRNA from 1 species
UGAACGCUGGCGGCGUGCCUAAUACAUGCAAGUCGAGCGAACAGACGAGGAGUUUGCUCCUCUGACGUUAGCGGCGGACGGGUGAGUAACACGUGGAUAACCUACCUAUAAGACUGGGAUAACUUCGGGAAACCGGAGCUAAUACCGGAUAAUAUAUUGAACCGCAUGGUUCAAUAGUGAAAGACGGUUUUGCUGUCACUUAUAGAUGGAUCCGCGCCGCAUUAGCUAGUUGGUAAGGUAACGGCUUACCAAGGCGACGAUGCGUAGCCGACCUGAGAGGGUGAUCGGCCACACUGGAACUGAGACACGGUCCAGACUCCUACGGGAGGCAGCAGUAGGGAAUCUUCCGCAAUGGGCGAAAGCCUGACGGAGCAACGCCGCGUGAGUGAUGAAGGUCUUCGGAUCGUAAAACUCUGUUAUUAGGGAAGAACAAAUGUGUAAGUAACUAUGCACGUCUUGACGGUACCUAAUCAGAAAGCCACGGCUAACUACGUG